AAACAAUGAUGACAUUUUUAAGGCUUGUUUCUCAAAACAUUCGCAGUGGCCGCCCAAGAGCUUUCGCCUUCGCCAGGCUUGAGAGCUAAUGCUGUUUUAAUCCUUCCUUGGAUGUCUGAGUUU
rnacentral:snoRNA from 1 species